GUGGGGAAUUUUGGACAAUGGGCGCAAGCCUGAUCCAGCCAUGCCGCGUGCAGGAUGAAGGCCUUCGGGUUGUAAACUGCUUUUGUACGGAACGAAAAGACUCUGGUUAAUACCUGGGGUCCAUGACGGUACCGUAAGAAUAAGCACCGGCUAACUACGUGCCAGCAGCCGCGGUAAUACGUAGGGUGCAAGCGUUAAUCGGAAUUACUGGGCGUAAAGCGUGCGCAGGCGGUUAUAUAAGACAGAUGUGAAAUCCCCGGGCUCAACCUGGGAACUGCAUUUGUUACUGUAUAGCUAGAGUACGGUAGAGGGGGAUGGAAUUCCGCGUGUAGCAGUGAAAUGCGUAGAUAUGCGGAGGAACACCGAUGGCGAAGGCAAUCCCCUGGACCUGUACUGACGCUCAUGCACGAAAGCGUGGGGAGCAAACAGGAUUAGAAACCCCAGUAGUCC
rnacentral:rRNA from 1 species